UGGGGAAUAUUGGGCAAUGGGCGAAAGCCUGACCCAGCAACGCCGCGUGAAGGAAGAAGGCCUUCGGUUGUAAACUUCUUUUACCAGGGACGAAGGACGUGACGGUACCUGGAGAAAAAGCAACGGCUAACUACGUGCCAGCAGCCGCGGUAAUACGUAGGUUGCAAGCGUUGUCCGGAUUUACUGGGUGUAAAGGGUGUGUAGGCGGAGAGGCAAGUCAGAUGUGAAAAUUACGGGCUCAACCCGUAACCUGCAUUUGAAACUGUUUCCCUUGAGUGUCGGAGAGGUAAAUGGAAUUCCCAGUGUAGCGGUGAAAUGCGUAGAUAUUGGGAGGAACACCGGUGGCGAAGGCGGUUUACUGGACGACAACUGACGCUGAGACACGAAAGUGUGGGGAGCAAACAGGAUUAGAUACCCUGGUAGU
rnacentral:rRNA from 1 species